rnacentral:tRNA from 1 species
GGGGCUGUAGCUCAUUGGUAGAGUAUUUGCCUAACAGGCACAAGCCUCUGGGUUUGAUCCCCAACACUACUA